rnacentral:rRNA from 1 species
GAUGAACGCUGACGGCGUGCUUAACACAUGCCAGUCGAACGGGAAUUCCUUUAUUUAAUCUUCGGUCGAUUUCAUUUAGUUAUAGUGGCGGCCGGAUGAGUCACGCGUGGGUAACCUGCCUUUUACUGGUGGAUAACAGUCAGAAAUCGCUGCUACUACCGUCUACGCUUCCAGAGCUGCAUGGCUCCGUGUGAAAAACUCAGGUUGUAUAAGAUGGACCCUCUUUGGCUUAGCUUUUUGGUGUGGUAACGGCCCACCAAAGCGACGGUCCAUAGCCGCCUUGGGAGGGUGAACGGCCACAUUGGGACUGAGACACGGUCCAGACUCCGAAGGGAGGCAGCAGUGGGGAAUAUUGCACAAUGGGGGAAAACCUGAUGCAUCGACGCCGCGUGAAGGAAGAAGUAGCUCGGGAUGUAAACUUCUAUCAGAAGGGAAGAUAGUGACGGUACCUGACUAAGAAGCCCCGGCUAACUACGUG